GUUAAUAAGUAAGUUAUUUCACUCGAGAUAGGUUAUUACUUGCAGCAACAUCAUGUUUUAAGUAUUGAACCACACAAAGGAUUAAAUCUUCAUUACAAAAUCAUUCAUAACUCCAUUUAAAUCAAUGGAAACCAAAUAUGGAUAGUUUCAUGGAGUAACAACAUACUUUGGAUUUUGGACAUAAAAUACAAUACAAGUUAAUAUCGAACUUCGAACUUAUAAAGUGUUAAGCAGCAAUUACAAUAAAAGUGCUUGCUGUGGAAUCACUGGUGCUGCUCAUUAUUGUCAACUGUUACUUAAAAAGGUUAUGCCAUGCAUUAAAUUAGGAAGAUUUGUGUUGGAUGAAUUACCCAGAUAACAAUUAAAACAACUUCUAUUUAUAAGAACAUUCGAUUGGUGGAAUCCAGAUUCUGUGAAUAUAUAUUAAGUAAUUGAUUGACAAGUACACAUUUGACAAGGUGGUGAGAAACAUGUAGAUCUGGCCUGCUUACAGUGGAGUGGACAGAACCAACGUGAGAGUGAACGUGUGAAUUUAUGGAGAACAUUAAACUAUUUUACUAUAAGUCUUAACGCAACAUAUUUUAUAUGAGUUACAUACAAAUGUCAAUCCGU